AGAGUUUGAUCCUGGCUCAGAGUGAACGCUGGCGGCAUGGUUAAGACAUGCAAGUCGAACGAGAAGCAGGACUUCGGUCCUGUGGAAAGUGGCGAACGGGUGCGUAACACGUGAGCAACCUGCCCCUAAGUACGGAAUAGCCCACCGAAAGGUGGAUUAAUACCGCAUGUGACCCUUUAUCGCAUGGUAGAGUGGUUAAAGCUUGUAAUGGCGCUUAGGGAUGGGCUCGCGGCCUAUCAGCUUGUUGGUGAGGUAACGGCUCACCAAGGCUAAGACGGGUAGCUGGUCUGAGAGGAUGAUCAGCCACACCGGGACUGAGACACGGCCCGGACACCUACGGGUGGCAGCAGUUUCGAAUCAUUCACAAUGGGCGAAAGCCUGAUGAUGCAAUGCCGCGUGGAGGAUGACGGCCCUAGGGUUGUAAACUCCUGUCAUUAGGGAACAACAAGUAGGUUCAUAGCCUACCCUGAGUUAACCUAAAGAGGAAGAGGUGGCUAACUCCGUGCCAGCAGCCGCGGUAAUACGGAGACCUCGAGCGUUACUCGGAUUUACUGGGCGUAAAGGGUGAGCAGGCGGCCAGGUGUGUUAGGUGUGAAAUCCCGGGGCUCAACCCCGGAACUGCGCCUAAAACUACCUGGCUAGAGUAUCGGAGAGGACAGUGGAAUUCCAGGUGUAGCGGUGAAAUGCGUAGAUAUCUGGAGGAACACCAGUGGCGAAGGCGACUGUCUGGACGAUUACUGACGCUCAAUCACGAAAGCGUGGGUAGCGAAAGGGAUUAGAUACCCCUGUAGUCCUGGCCGUAAACGAUGAACACUAGGUGUCGGGGGAAUCGACCCCUCCGGUGUCGUAGCCAACGCGUUAAGUGUUCCGCCUGGGGAGUACGCACGCAAGUGUGAAACUCAAAGGAAUUGACGG
rnacentral:rRNA from 1 species